rnacentral:rRNA from 1 species
CCCGCUGAACUUAAGCAUAUCAAUAAGCGGAGGAAAAGAAACUAACAAGGAUUCCCCUAGUAACUGCGAGUGAAGCGGGAAAAGCUCAAAUUUAAAAUCUGGCGGUCCUUGUGGCCGUCCGAGUUGUAAUUUAGAGAAGUGCUAUCCGCGCUGGCCCGUGUACAAGUCUCCUGGAAUGGAGCGUCAUAGAGGGUGAGAAUCCUGUCUUUGACACACACUGCCAGGGCAUUGUGAUACGCUCUCAAAGAGUCGAGUUGUUUGGGAAUGCAGCUCAAAAUGGGUGGUAAAUUCCAUCUAAAGCUAAAUAUUGGGGAGAGACCGAUAGCGAACAAGUACCGUGAGGGAAAGAUGAAAAGAACUUUGGAAAGAGAGUUAAACAGUACGUGAAAUUGCUGAAAGGGAAACGCUUGAAGUCAGUCGCGUCGCUCAGGACUCAGCCUCGCUUUUGCUUGGUGUACUUCCUGUUCGAUGGGUCAGCAUCAAUUUUGGUCGGUGGAUAAAGGCUCAGAGAAUGUGGCAUCUUCGGGUGUGUUAUAGCUCUGGGUUGUAUACAUCGGCUGGGAUUGAGGAACUCAGCACGCCGCAAGGCCGGGUACUUGUACCACGUACGUGCUUAGGAUGCUGGCAUAAUGGCUUUAAUCGACCCGUCUUGAAACACGG